UGCCAGCAGCCGCGGUAAUACGGAGGGUGCAAGCGUUGUUCGGAAUUAUUGGGCGUAAAGCGUGCGUAGGCGGGUGACUAAGUCUGAUGUGAAAUCCCUCGGCUCAACCGAGGACGUGCAUUGGAUACUGGUCACCUUGAGUCCUGGAGAGGAUAGCGGAAUUCCCAGUGUAGAGGUGAAAUUCGUAGAUAUUGGGAGGAACACCAGUGGCGAAAGCGGCUAUCUGGACAGUGACUGACGCUGAGGUACGAAAGCAUAGGUAGCAAACAGGAUUAGAUA
rnacentral:rRNA from 1 species